ACAUUAUAAAUAUAUGCAUAUCUUAAUUAACUUUUUUUUUAAACUAAAAGUAGUUAUAUAUAAUCUAGAAGAAAUUAUAUAAUUAUAUAACUAAAUUUAUUUUAUCUUUAAUUCAUUGUCAAAUUAUGAAUUAAAAAAAUAUCACCAAAACAUACGGAUGCAUUAUACAGUGAAAGGGGGGAUAUUUUUACCAGAUGUUAAAACAAAAUAAAAUGAUACUAUUAUAUUUUUAUUUUAAUCAUACUUAAACAUUAAUCUAUGUUAAAAAAAUAUUAAACAACUUUUUUAUAAUAUAAUAAGAUUAGAAGUUAAGAUAAUGGAAUUCUAGGUGUUUUUUUUUCGAUUUCAUAUAUUACAUAAACAUAUGUCAUGUCAAAUUUUAAAAAUAUAUAAUUAACUCAUUAAAAUAAAAUAACUAUUAAUCACAAAUCUGUAAAAAAUAUAGUUUUGUUAUAUGAGAUAAUGCUUAACUCUAUUCGUAAUUAAAUAUAUUUUUCUCCAAAAUACUUUACAUUUUUAAAAUUGAUGUAUAAUUCAAUCAUAAUCUUCUUUUUGUUAAUUGGUUUAUUCAAUUCUAUCAAAGCCUUUCCUGAUCCAUGCCCAGAGGGAGUUGAGGAAUCAGUUUGUUUACAUUAUGAUUACUGUCAAGGAAAAAAAUGCGAUCGCUAUCCCGAUGCCAUAUGUGACCUAAAUAGUUGUGGAUACUGUAGGGCAGAAUUUAGAAUAAAUAAUAAAAAAGUUGAUUGUUAAUGAUGGGAAAAAUCUCUUUUAAUUUUAUAUCAAUCAAGUUGGUUUUUUUUAAAUUUAAAUUAUAUUAGGAAUUUUAUGCUUUAUAGUAUAUUUAUUAAUUUAUGAACAAUCAAUUUUUAAGUUUUAAAAUGUGUUUUAAAAAAAUAUUAUUAUAACAUACAAUAAAACGUAUAAUUAACGAA